rnacentral:rRNA from 1 species
AGCAAUCCCUGAACGCGCCCGAUCUCAUCUGAUCUCGGAAGCUAAGCAGGGUCGGGCCUGGUUAGUACUUGGAUGGGAAAAUAUAAACAAUAAUAGCAUAAGAAAAAAACUGGA